rnacentral:lncRNA from 10 species
CUCAGUUUUCUAAUCUGAAAAAUGAGAAUAUUAACCAUAGACAACUGCCACUCACUGAACACCAGCUGCAGUAGAGCCGAGCAUACACGUAAUCCUCACCGCAACCAUAGGAGCUGGAUCCUGACAUCCCCAUCUCACAGAGGAGGAGACUGAGGUUAAUGACGUGGCAAAUAUCCACAAUGACAGUUUCUGCAAGUCUUUCCUAGUGCAAUCACCCACAACCACAGCCCUAGAAAGAAGGAUGAACACUCUUCCACAGAGGCUGGCACGCACCUUAAGGCAGGUGCCCACUGGAACCCUGUCUGUGGUGUCAAGGAUUUUACAGUUGACCUUGAAGACCACCUAGUCCAAAGCUCUCAUUGUACAAAAAGCCAAGCCCAGAGGUCACACAAAGCUUUGGACCUGAGCCUCUGGGCCCCGCGGUCUGGAAAGUGCUCCUUUCUCUGCAUGCUACGGGGCUAUCAACUUGAGCUGGUCCAGUCUGCAGAUCUACAUCCUGCCCGCCUGAGCAGAGGCGGGUGUGGGACCAGUGCGGAUCUCCACGAUUUGUCAGCCCAUCCUGAUAAGUCUGAGGCUCUGACCAUCAUAUCUCAUCACAGCAUCAUUAGGAUUACAAGUGCCAUGCGGUAGAAGAGGAAGGGAAACACGAACAAAAGGAUGAGAAAUUAAGCCCAUUUCACCCGGAAAAGAUGACUCUGAUUUAUUGCUCUAUAGCAGCUGACGAUGGCCUGUCAGAGAAAUUCUGUGUUGAAAAUAAAGAAUAAAAAUCACCCAGAGUUGUUUUGCCACACAUCCAAAUUAGAAAAUGCUACUCUCCGGAUGAUUUAUGCUUCAAUUUUUUCCCUUAUUCACAGAGAAUUUGUCCAGCAUUACAAGAGCACCUAAGAGCAAUAAUACAAUUCAAAAGGAGAUAGAAGAGGCCGCAGAGGUGUUGAUGUGCGGCUGAGGGCGGGGUGCUGGCCCAAAGGCAGGGCUUUGGUGCUCAGAAGCAUUGACCUUACAGGGAGGAACAAGGAGAAACCAGCCAGGCAGGCCCCGCAGGCAGCCCACAGAGCCACUUCGCCGUGCAGCCGAGGGAGUCCCGCACCACGGGGCCUCGCUCAGGGUAGCCACCAUGGGAGAAUGUCCCCACCUCGUGGAUGUCAGGCUUGGCCACAGGUCCUUGGCCACGGGACCUGAGCAGAGUGACAUAUGCCACACUGGAUCAGAAGCACGCUGGACCACCACGUGGUAUGGCUCCCUUUCUUUCUCCCGUCAUAAGUACAAGAUGUUGGCUGACCUGACUCCUGGGGUAGAAAUGUCAUGUAGACACUGGGCGCGGUGGCUCACGCCUGUAAUCCCAGCACUUUGGAAGGCCGAGGCAGGUGGAUUGCCUGAGCUCAGGAGUUCGAGACCAGCCUGGACAACAUGGUGAAACCCGUCUCUACUAAUUUACAAAAAAAAUUAGCCAGGUGUGUUGGCACAUGCCUGUAGUCCCAGCUACGUGGGAGGCUGAGGCACGAGAAUUGCCUGAACCCCAGAGGUGGAGGUUGCAGUGAGCCGAGAUGGUACCUCUGCACUGCAGCCUGGGCAACAGAAUGAGACUGUGUCUUCAAAAAAAAAAAGCACUGUCAUGCAGGGCAGGGUCCCAAGGCCCCAGCCAACCUCUCGUUGACAUGUAAUGUAAGAAGAUGUCAACUCAUGCUUAUAGUCACUGACAUUUAGGAAUAGUCUGUUACCACAGCAUAAGCUGGUAAAAAAAAAAAAAAAAAUCAUACAGCUCUUCUUCCCGGAACGCCCCUGCACCUCUGCUCCGGUGCACAAAUGCUUUCUCUUCAAGGCAUGGCGCAAAAAAGCCACUACUUCCAGAAGCAUCUCCUCAUUCCCCGCCGGGAGCAACAUCUCUCUUCUCGAGACCCCAGCCCCUCCGCUGUCUACCCAUGGACUUCCUCAGUGUUUGUUUUUUGCAUGAUUCUUUGUGACCAAGCUGUUUCUCCAGCUGCCUUGAGGACAUGCCCUAGGGAACAGUGCUCUGAAUCGUACCUGGAUUCUGUGCCUACCUGCUCCAUCUAAAGCAGAAAACUCCACAACUAAGAUCUCUUCUAACAUUUAAGGAAUAGAGCCUAAUUAGCGCAUGAAUACGUGUUGAACUGUGAAUGAAUCAAUGAGUAUGGAAACUACAUUAUACGCAGUGCUGAUAGAACCAAGUUGCCAAGGGAGAUAUCAUCUCUCCUGCAGGAAGGAAGUCCUGCCUCCCACUGAUCCACUCAGCGCACAGCCUUGAACAAAACAGAGCAAGAGUUAUAACCUUCAGAUGUGGGGGCAGAAUAGGACCCAUUUGGGCAGACACAGGCCACGGAAACCACAGGGCCAGCGUCUUGAGCCCUCGAUCAGACGCCUCCCGCCCACCGCGGCCGCUUCUCCACGCUUUUGCCCAGAUCUCUGCACCGCGUGGCCCGGUCUUGCCUCCCUGAGGACCACACUGGCUGCAACCCAAACUCGACUCUUCUACUUACACUUGCUCAGCAUUUUUGUCAUCCCUGCCCUUGGCCAAUCCCUGUCUUGGUUUCUGCUCUUCCCACACAAAGUUUUGGGAAUCAAUUCAUACAUAUUUGAGAUUAACCAAAGUCCAUGAUCAGUUCUGGACCGCUAUGGAUUCCAGAUCCACCUUACGUAGCCGUGUGAGCUCCGGUAAAUUACAUAACCCAUCAAAUUUCUUUAUCUAUAAAGCAGCAACAAUAAUGUCACGAAGGAUUAAGGUAAAGAUGAGAAAUAGUAUAGCAAAAGCAUCU